CGACAUAUAGACCAUUCCAAGAUAGCGGACAUGUAGACUUGUGGAAUCUACCUAUACAUAUUUACGGAAAAAGGAUCACCCCUCUCCUAAAAAUGACUUGUAAACUCAGUCAGGUGUAGCUUAUCAAUCACCUUCUCAAUGGCAUACUUUUUUUUAUUUAUUUUUCUUACAAGUUGGUGUUUUAUCUUUCACUUUGAUGUUAUAAAUACAGCUGGAUGAAACAAAAACUGUGUUCGUCUCCAUUUCAGACUGCAAAAGGAACAAAAUGUGAUUACUUUCAGGGGGUGAUUCUUUUCUAUACUCACUGGAGAUAUAUGAUGUUGAACAGUUCUGAAACGUUGCUAAGGUAUUCGAUUGUGUUUGGCAGCCCAGGGGAGCUGAAGGCUAAAGUGGAGACACUGGCUCAGUGGAUCAGGGAGUCACAGUACAUGGUGGUGCAUGACGUCAUCAGGCAUCCCGGACUUCUACUGUUGUUUUGUUUAUUUAUUUUUUUGUUUGUUUGUUUGUUAGUGGGGAAGCUAGUGUGGACUGUUGGUGCUGUUCAUCUGUGCUAUGGUAGAUGGCGCUCCAAACUGCUAUUUUGAAGGCAUGAAAGAGGAUGGUGACUCAAGCACAAAAACUGACAAACAGCACAAUAAAAGUAGUCAGUGUUGCUUUUUUUGCUUUACAUACAAGUCAUCUGAAGUCAUACAAUAGCUUUAUGUGAAAUGUUCAACUAUUCACGAAAAUCAUGAAUUCUUGGUUAGCUCUCAUUUCUUUGUUACAAGUCUCAUUUAUGUUAGUACAAGAACGUAAGAGCAUUGCACUUUUUUCCUAGAGUCGUCAUGGAACGUCAUCUGAACAUAUUCAAUAUCAGUUCACUGUCCCUUUGAAGUUAGGACCAAGAGUAAAAUAUAAACGUUUUCCAUGUAAUGCCAUCAACUGAGGUAUUUCUCCUGAAAUCGAUGGCUUUGCAU